rfam:Brachypodium distachyon strain Bd21 chromosome 4, whole genome shotgun sequence.
CAUUGGCUGGAGUGAUGAAUCAAUUAGAUGCGCGAAGUCACCUUAUGAGCUUAACCAUUUGAGGCAUAUUUAUUGGUCUGACCAGCCAAUG